UACGUAGGGUGCAAGCGUUGUCCGGAAUUAUUGGGCGUAAAGAGCUCGUAGGCGGUUUGUCGCGUCUGGUGUGAAAAUCCAGGGCUUAACCCUGGACCUGCAUCGGGUACGGGCAGACUAGAGUGCGGUAGGGGAGAUCGGAAUUCCUGGUGUAGCGGUGAAAUGCGCAGAUAUCAGGAAGAACACCCGUGGCGAAAGCGGCUCUCUGGGACGGUACUGACGCUGAGACGCGAAAGCGUGGGGAGCGAACAGG
rnacentral:rRNA from 1 species